rnacentral:rRNA from 1 species
GACGAACGCUGGCGGCGUGCUUAACACAUGCAAGUCGAACGGUAAGGCCCUUCGGGGUACACGAGUGGCGAACGGGCGAGUAACACGUGGGUGAUCUGCCCUGCACUUCGGGAUAAGCCUGGGAAACUGGGUCUAAUACCGGAUAGGACCACUGCAUGCAUGGGUGGUGGUGGAAAGCUUUUGCGGUGUGGGAUGGGCCCGCGGCCUAUCAGCUUGUUGGUGGGGUGAGGGCCUACCAAGGCGACGACGGGUAGCCGGCCUGAGAGGGUGACCGGCCACACUGGGACUGAGAUACGGCCCAGACUCCUACGGGAGGCAGCAGUGGGGAAUAUUGCACAAUGGGCGCAAGCCUGAUGCAGCGACGCCGCGUGAGGGAUGACGGCCUUCGGGUUGUAAACCUCUUUCAGCACCGACGAAGCGCAAGUGACGGUAGGUGCAGAAGAAGGACCGGCCAACUACGUGCCAGCCGCCGCUGUAA